rnacentral:rRNA from 1 species
AAACUAACAAGGAUUCCCCUAGUAGCGGCGAGCGAAGCGGGAAGAGCUCAAAUUUGUAAUCUGGCACUUUCGGUGUCCGAGUUGUAAUCUCUAGAAGUGUUUUCCGCGUUGGACCGCACACAAGUCUGUUGGAAUACAGCGGCAUAGUGGUGAUACCCCAUUACACGGUGCGGACGCCCAGCGCUUUGUGAUACACUUUCGACGAGUCGAGUUGUUUGGGAAUGCAGCUCAAAUUGGGUGGUAAAUUCCAUCUAAAGCUAAAUAUUGGCGAGAGACCGAUAGCGAACAAGUACCGUGAGGGAAAGAUGAAAAGCACUUUGGAAAGAGAGUUAAAAGUACGUGAAAUUGUUGGAAGGGAAACGCUUGAAGUCAGACUUGCUUGCCGGGCUUGCUCGGUUUGCAGGCCAGCAUCAGUUUUCUGGGACGGAUAAUGGCAGUUAGAAUGUAGCAGUCUCGGCUGUGUUAUAGCUUUCUGCUGGAUACGUCCUGGGGGACUGAGGAACGCAGCGUGCCGUAUGGCGAGGGCUUCGGUCCUUUCACGCUUAGGAUGCUGGUGGAAUGGCUUUAAACGACCCGUCUUGAAACACGGACCAAGGAGUCUAACAUGCUUGCGAGUAUUUGGGUGUCAAACCCGGAUGCGUAAUGAAAGUGAAUGGAGGUGGGAAGCGCAAGCUGCACCAUCGACCGAUCUGGAUUUUCUAAGAUGGAUUUGAGUAAGAGCACGUAUGUUGGGACCCGAAAGAUGGUGAACUAUGCCUGAAUAGGGCGAAGCCAGAGGAAACUCUGGUGGAGGCUCGUAGCGGUUCUGACGUGCAAAUCGAUCGUCAAAUUUGGG